rnacentral:rRNA from 1 species
UACGUAGGGGGCAAGCGUUGUCCGGAUUUAUUGGGCGUAAAGAGCGUGUAGGCGGCGCGGUAAGUCGGGUGUGAAAUCUCGGAGCUUAACUCCGAAACUGCAUUCGAUACUGCCGUGCUUGAGGACUGGAGAGGAGACUGGAAUUUACGGUGUAGCGGUGAAAUGCGUAGAUAUCGUAAGGAAGACCAGUGGCGAAGGCGGGUCUCUGGUCUAACACUGACACUGAGACUCGAAAGCGUGGGGAGCAAACAGG